AUGCUGUGGGUCUCCAGCAGCACAAAUGGAUGCUUCCAAGACUUCCACACACCAGAAGCACUCUCUCAACUUUUUCUUGAGGCUGUCUUGCCUGCUGUCCUUGCUCUCCUCCACCUCCAUGUGCUUCUGCAGGGUUCCUGUUGUUCCUCCCACAUGCAAAUAAGGACUCUCUGUGCCCGGAGAUGGAGAACAACAGGGACAGAGAGUGUACAGAAAAGGAGGAAGGUCGUGCCAAAAGGAGUGGAAGUGUUUUACCCUGUCAAAGCAGGCAGAACAGAGCAGCUGCUGGUGCACAGCAGCUCAGAGCCAGCUUGAACCAGCUGCUCCAGGUCUGUGUGUAACUAAUUGAAAAGAAGAGAGACAGUAAGUUAUUCUGGGAACCCUGCACCAUGCUGCAGCGUACAAAUGCUCUGCAAUUACCGGGAGUUUACUGUCUGCCUGCAUUUCUUCUAUCACAGGCUGUCACCUCACCACUUGAAAUAUGUCAAUGUGCUUCAGGGGGAUUUUCUCAAGAAAAGGAGCUUUUGUGACCAGUUUUUGUGACAUGAGUCUCUUCUCCGAGGUGACCUUUAUUUUCCAGAGUGACACUGUAGUAAGUUACCACUCACUGAUAACAUUGCAGAGAUCAAAAUUAGCACAGUUCCUACCAUUUGGUUAAGAUUUGUAGGGUGUGUUUGCCCUUGCUUCCUUAGCUGCUCUCCUUCCAGGAGCAAAGCUCUGUGUUUAAAGAGGUAAGUACAAAGUUCAGUAAUAAGUGAUAUAUGCAUGUCUAUAUGCCCAGCCCUAGUCUGGUGACUGAGUCAGGACAUAAAUCAGUCUUUUAUCUCUGAGUCACUGCUUUAUUCUGUAUGUUUACGAAAGUCAAACCUAAUGUUUGCAAUUGCAAGCAGACAAAAAAUGAUCCAGGAGGUGAUCUGGCCGCUUCAUUUUUAUUGGCAACUGAAGGGGGUGGCUGUAAGUUAUCAAGCCUCUUCUGGCAGAGAAUGAUUACAGAGCCCAAAAGAGUGAGAUCAUUGGCACAUGGUGGCAGAUGUCCCAGCUGCACCAGUUCUUCCUCCCCACUCACUGCUGACACUGAAAGUGGAAGAUCCACUCCUUUGGCUUCUGCCUCGUGAUCCUUCACUGCUGUAUGUGUGGUAUGGGAAGAAGCACCUCGUCCUCUCUCUCCUGCCGUGCCUUCCAGGGGUCAGACACUGCUGGUGCUUCACAUGGGUGGUCCCCUGACAUCAGCAGGUGUGGUUGCUGUCCUGCAUGCCAAGGAAGCCUCCUGGAAGACUCAGCAGGAUCCUCACCCUGUAGCACAGGACUUGGGAGG
rnacentral:lncRNA from 1 species